CAUUAUCAGAAUUCCUCAUAAACAUAACAAGGAUAUGUGUAAUCUAACCGUGUCUUUUUCUGCGUUUAUCAUGCUGAGACUAAAUAAUAACAACCAAAAAAGCUUUCCUCCCAGAACCUCCCCUUGUGGGGUUUCACAGUGGGGCCCAUGCUGUCUAAAGCCCUUAUUUUGACAGAUAAUUAAUUUUCCCUUGCUACCCUGACAAUACUUAAUGAAAGAGAUGCUUAAAGUCCGGUCAUCCAAAAGAGAAACAGAUGUGUUUCUACAGCACGCUUACUAUCUGCAGGCUCAGGCAGUAGCCGCAAAACUACCUUGUAGAAUUGAUGCCAUGCUUUAUCAUUCUCCAGGUCUUGCUGGGCCAGUGCCUAAGAAAUACGGAGAAGACCCUUUGCUCAUUUAAAGAUUGCAUCUCAUAGAGAGCUGUGGCUAUCAGAGAGCUAAAACUCCCAUAUGCAAUUACCAAGAAGGCUGACUGUGAAUGCCACCUCCCUUCUCGGACAUCAGAAGAUAUUCUGGAGGGUAAUAUGGAAUGGAAUUCUGGUGUCUCCCUUUGUCUGUGACAUGAGCUGUGAUUUCAUCAGUAAACAAGUCUUAGAAGAGGUAACUACCAACACCGAUGACUACCUUCUCUGCAACCUGUGUCUUUGGAGGAUCAUUUAGAAUGCUGAGAGGCAUGUAAACAGAUGAACAUGUCUCUGCAAAGGAACAAAGAUCCAGACAGUUAUAGGACAAAGAGAAAAGUAGCACCAUCUGAAAAUAAACAAGCCUGAACUUCAUCUACACUGAAUGUAAGAGCAACAAGAAACGUAAUUUUUAAGUCUCAUCUUAUUUUGAUUUUAGGAGUCUCUAUAUUAACUUCUCUUUAAAACUAGAGACCUUUUCUACAACCCUGAACUGAAUAAUUAAAGUCACACUUUAGAGAUAACAGCAAUCUUGGAAAAUGAAUCAGAAUCUUAUACUCUUAGAGGUGGAAGGGAAAUCACAGGCCAACUAGGCCAACUCAUACCUAACUAAUCUGGCCUUUCCCCAAGAAGCUCAAACGAGGCCUUGUUUUGACACUUACUGGCUCACUAAGAAUAUAUGUCACUUAUUCUCUCUGACUUGUGGUUUCCUUAUCUAUAAA